AGUGGAUGGGGAGCAACCUAGUUGUGCGUGUGUAAAGGUAGUGCCAAGAAAAGCGAUGAUCAUGUUGAAAAUCAAUUCCCGGUACCCGAAACCGACACAGGUGGGCAAGUAGAGAAUACUAAGGGGCGCGAGGUAACUCUCUCCAAGGAACUCGGCAAAAUGACCCCGUAACUUAGGGAGAAGGGGUGCCACCGAGAGGUGGUCGCAGUGAAGAGGCCCAGGCGACUGUUUAGCAAAAACAUAGGUCUCUGCAAACUCGAAAGAGGAGGUAUAGGGGCUGACGCCUGCCCAGUGCCGGAAGGUUAAAGAAGUUGGUCAGUCUUAGGAUGAAGCUAGCGACUGAAGCCCCGGUGAACGGCGGCCGUAACUAUAACGGUCCUAAGGUAGCGAAAUUCCUUGUCGGGUAAGUUCCGACCCGCACGAAAGGCGUAACGAUCUGGGCGCUGUCUCGGAGAGAGGCUCGGCGAAAUAGGAUUGUCUGUGAAGAUACGGACUACCUGCAUUUGGACAGAAAGACCCUAUGAAGCUUUACUAUAGCUUGGAAUUGUGUUCGGGCUUCCUGUGCGCAGGAUAGGUGGGAGGCGUAGAAGGUAUUCUUGUGGGGAUACUGGAGCCAACGGUGAGAUACCACUCUCAGGAGGCCAGAAUUCUAACUUAAUUAAGGACAGUUUCAGGUGGGUAGUUUGACUGGGGCGGUCGCCUCCAAAAAGGUAACGGAGGCGUACAAAGGUUCCCUCAGACUGGUUGGAAAUCAGUCGAAGAGCGCAAAGGCAGAAGGGAGCUUGACUGCGAGAAGUACAGUUCGAGCAGGGUGGAAACACGGUCUUAGUGAUCCGACGGUGCUGUGUGGAAGGGCCGUCGCUCAACGGAUAAAAGUUACUCUAGGAUAACAGGCUGAUCUCCCCCAAGAGUUCACAUCGACGGGGAGGUUUGGCACCUCGAUGUCGGCUCAUCGCAACCUGGGGCGGAAGUACGUCCCAAGGGUUGGGCUGUUCGCCCAUUAAAGCGGUACGUGAGCUGGGUUCAGAACGUCGUGAGACAGUUCGGUCCAUAUCCGAUGUAGGCGUGAGAAUAUUGAGAGGAGCCUUCCUUAGUACGAGAGGACCGGGAAGGACGCACCGCUGGUGUACCUGUUAUGAUGCCAAUUGUAAACGCAGGGUAGCCAAGUGCGGAGAGGAUAACCGCUGAAAGCAUCUAAGUGGGAAGCCCACCUCAAGAUGAGUAUUCUGGUGUAAGGUCACGGGAAGACGACCCGUAAAUAGGCACGAGGUGGAAGUGCAGAGAUGUAUGAAGCCGAAGUGUACUAAUAGACCGUCGGCUUGA
rnacentral:rRNA from 1 species